rnacentral:SRP_RNA from 1 species
GCCGGGCGCGGUGGCGCGUGCCUGUAGUCCCAGCUACUCGGGAGCCUGAGGUAGGAGGAUUGCUUGAGCCCAGGAGUUCUGGGCUGUAGUGUGCUAUGCUGAUCGGGUGUCCGCACUAAGUUUGGCAUCAAUAUGGUGACCUCCCGGGAGUGGGGGACCACCAGGUUGCCUAAGGAGGGGUGAACUGGCCCAGGUCAGAAAUGGAGCAGGUCAAAAUUCCCGUGCUGAUCAGUAGUGGGAUGACGCCUGUGAAUAGCCACUGCAUUCCAGCCUGGGCAAUAUAGCGAGACCCCAUCUCU